rnacentral:rRNA from 1 species
UGGGGGAUAUUGCACAAUGGGCGAAAGCCUGAUGCAGCGACGCCGCGUGGGGGAUGAAGGCCUUCGGGUUGUAAACUUCUUUUGCUCUGAACAAGGCGCACCAUGGGGUGUGUUGAGUGUAGGGGGUGAUUAGCGCCGGCGAACUACGUGCCAGCAGCCGCGGUAAUACGUAGGGCGCGAGCGUCGUCCGGAAUUAUUGGGCGAAAAGGGCUUGUAGGUGGCUGGUUGCGUCUGUCGUGAAAGCUCAUGGCUUAACGGUGGGUUUGCGGUGGGUACGGGCUGGCUUGAGUGCAGGAGUGGAGGCGGGAAUUCCUGGUGUAGCGCUGGAAUGCGCAGAUAUCAGGGGGAGUACCGGUGGCGCGGGCGGGUCUCUGUGCUGUUACUGACACUGAGGAGCGAAAGCAUGGGGAGCGAACAGG